rnacentral:tRNA from 1 species
UUAACUGAAACCAAAAAGAGGUAUAUUACUGUUUAUAAUAAAACUGAAUAUUUAUAUUCCAGUUAAG